ensembl:misc_RNA Y_RNA Y RNA
GGUUGGUCCAAAGGUAGUGAGUUAUCUCAAUUGAUUGUUCACAGUCAGUUACAGCUCGAACUCCUUGUUCUCUUUCCCCUCUUCUCACUACUGCACUUGACUAGUCUUUA